rnacentral:lncRNA from 1 species
AGAGCCCCGUGGCCAGCGGCCGGCCGCGGGGCCUUUUUGUCCUGAGGGCCAGAGAAAGGGAGAAGGGGGUGGGGGGACAGCCACGUGGCCGCAGGAGGAUUUACAACAUUUUCUUUCGCCAUCGAUGUUAUCGCAAAAUGUGUGAGAGAAGCGGCUGCGCAGCCCGGACGGGAGCGUGAGGGUGCGGGCCAGGUAAGCAGCCCCGGCGGUUUCGCCGCAUACGGGACUGCGGGGCGACCGCGGGCACCAGCCACGCGCAGCGGCUCCGCGGGGUCUCGGCCGGGUCCGCGCUCUGAAGGAUCUCGAGAGCCAUGGAUGGUGCAGGCGGGACCCUCGAGCUGCAGCAUCUCCGGUGACCCGGGGUUGCCGAGGAGGUGGAGACCAGCACAGGUGGUCCGGCCCGGGCGCCUCCGAAUCCGGGGGUGGUCAAGACGGAUCCCCAAGGCUGAGGUCGGCAGUCCCGGGGACUCGCAGCUGUUGAGCCUGUGGAGACGCGGCCCCGUGACCGAGGCACCCUUCAGCAACCCGGGGGCAGCGUUUUCCCCCUACCGGAAAUCUGAUGGGCUUAUGACAUCAUGGCUGGCUGCUGAGCGAUGAAGUGGAUGCCACAAAGAAAUCCGACAUAUCAGAUAGAUUCUGAAAUCGGUUUCCCUCCAGCUGUAGUAACAGGCGUGAAGUCAGGAGAAUUUGAGCUUUGUUUAAAAAAUAAAUAAAUAAAUAAAUAAACCAUAACAAAGUCUUGCCCUGUAUUAAAUGCAAUUUUCUUAAAAACAAGCAAACCUUUUGGACAUCAUUUUAUUUUAAUAGAAAUGCUGAGUUUUAUGAAACUAAAGUGGCUAAUAAAUCAGACCUGA